UCGGGAAUUUUGGGCAAUGGGCGAAAGCCUGACCCAGCAACGCCGCGUGAAGGAUGAAGUAUUUCGGUAUGUAAACUUCGUAAGAAUAGGAAGAAUAAAUGACGGUACUAUUUGUAAGGUCCGGCUAACUACGUGCCAGCAGCCGCGGUAAUACGUAGGGACCAAGCGUUGUUCGGAUUUACUGGGCGUAAAGGGCGCGUAGGCGGUGUGUCAAGUCAGUUGUGAAAUCUCCGAGCUUAACUCGGAACGGUCAACUGAUACUGUCACACUAGAGCACAGAAGGGGCAAUCGGAAUUCUUGGUGUAGCGGUGAAAUGCGUAGAUAUCAAGAGGAACACCUGAGGCGAAGGCGGGUUGCUGGGCUGAUACUGACGCUGAGGCGCGAAAGCUAGGGUAGCAAACGGGAUUAGAUACCCACGUAGUCCCUGAGCGGGCUGGCAAGGCG
rnacentral:rRNA from 1 species